rnacentral:rRNA from 1 species
CCUACGGGUGGCAGCAGUGGGGAAUAUUGCACAAUGGGGGGAACCCUGAUGCAGCGACGCCGCGUGAGUGAAGAAGUAUUUCGGUAUGUAAAGCUCUAUCAGCAGGGAAGAAAAUGACGGUACCUGACUAAGAAGCCCCGGCUAACUACGUGCCAGCAGCCGCGGUAAUACGUAGGAGGCAAGCGUUAUCCGGAUUUACUGGGUGUAAAGGGAGCGCAGACGGCUGUGCAAGUCUGGAGUGAAAGGCGGGGGCCCAACCCCCGGACUGCUCUGGAAACUGUAAAGCUGGAGUGCAGGAGAGGUAAGCGGAAUUCCUAGUGUAGCGGUGAAAUGCGGAGAUAUUAGGAGGAACACCAGUGGCGAAGGCGGCUUACUGGACUGCAACUGACGUUGAGGCUCGAAAGCGUGGGGAGCAAACAGGAUUAGAUACCCGAGUAGUC